rnacentral:lncRNA from 1 species
GCCACAAUGUCACAGCUCUGAACAAAUUCAUUACAAGGCUCGACCGUGAGACGCUCCUCGAUAAGGUCAUCAAUUGAUACAAGGUCAUCUACAAUGGUCAACAUGAUCUGCAGCUUCUUAAUACCAUAGCCCACAGGCACAAGCUUUGCUGCAAUUAAUUAGUACCAACGGUCAGUUUAUAGUUUUUUUAAAAAAAGUUAAAGGCACAAAGCAUGAUACUACUAAAAAUGUUAACAAGAAAAUUAGACUCACAUGCUCCCCAAAAGAGGCCUGGCAUCUCAAUGCUGCGAACAGCCUCCUCCAGCUUCUUCAUGUCAGUUUCAUCAUCCCAAGGUUUGAUAUCCAGAAGGACAGA